GGACUACCCGGGUUUCUAAUCCUGUUUGCUCCCCACGCUUUCGCGCCCCAGCGUCAGUAUUUGCCCAGGCAGUCGCCUUCGCCACUGGUGUUCCUUCCGAUCUCUACGCAUUUCACCGCUACACCGGAAAUUCCACUGCCCUCUGCAAUACUCCAGCCAUCCAGUCAUCGAUGCAGUUCCUAGGUUGAGCCCAGGGAUUUCACAUCAAUCUUAAACAACCGCCUACGCGCCCUUUACGCCCAGUAACUCCGAUUAACGCUCGCACCCUCUGUAUUACCGCGGCUGCUGGCAC
rnacentral:rRNA from 1 species